rnacentral:rRNA from 1 species
GUCCGUAGGCGGCUUAAUAAGUCAGUGGUGAAAUCCCUACGCUUAACGUAGGAACGGCCAUUGAUACUGUUAGGCUUGAAUUAUUAGGAAGUAACUAGAAUAUGUAGUGUAGCGGUGAAAUGCUUAGAGAUUACAUGGAAUACCAAUUGCGAAGGCAGGUUACUACUAAUGGAUUGACGCUGAUGGACGAAAGCGUGGGUAGCGAACAGGAUUAGAUACCCUGGUAGUCCACGCCGUAAACGAUGGAUACUAGCUGUUGGGCGCAAGUUCAGUGGCUAAGCGAAAGUGAUAAGUAUCCCACCUGGGGAGUACGUUCGCAAGAAUGAAACUCAAAGGAAUUGACGGGGGCCCGCACAAGCGGUGGAGCAUGUGGUUUAAUUCGAUGAUACGCGAGGAACCUUACCAAGGCUUAAAUGUAGAUUGACCGAUUUGGAAACAGAUCUUUCGCAAGACAAUUUACAAGGUGCUGCAUGGUUGUCGUCAGCUCGUGCCGUGAGGUGUCAGGUUAAGUCCUAUAACGAGCGCAACCCCUGUUGUUAGUUGCCAGCGAGUCAAGUCGGGAACUCUAACAAGACUGCCAGUGCAAACUGUGAGGAAGGUGGGGAUGACGUCAAAUCAUCACGGCCCUUACGCCUUGGGCUACACACGUGCUACAAUGGACGGUACAGAGAGCA